ensembl:snRNA U6 U6 spliceosomal RNA
GUGCUCACUUCGGCAGCACAUAUACUAAAAUUCGAACAAUACAGAGAUUAGCAUGGCUCCUGUGCAAGGAUGUCACACAAAUUCGUGACGUGUUACAUAUUAAA